rnacentral:lncRNA from 1 species
AUCCCUGAACCUCCGGCCCCUCAGCAGCUCAGGGAGGUAAAUCGUGGGAUGUGCCCUUGUUGGUUCCCAGGUUCCCACACGGCUUUUAGUCCUUCCCCAAAGGGGGCAUCUUCAUUGCCUUACAUCAACUUGCCUUCCAAGAUAAAUCUUGCCUUCCAAGUUGUGCCUUCCAGGAAUCGAACUUCCCACGCUUGGUUCCAGAGCCCCCCAAUGUGAUUGUUCUGCCAACUUGGAUGUGCCCCGGGGGGCUACUGAGAGCUCUUUCUAGAUUCUAUGGGUGGUGGUGCAUGACCAUUCUUAGCUGCUAAAGCGAUUUGUCUGAUUAAUUUCGUUAAUGAAUGAGACCUCAGUCUGCUAACUAGCUAUGCCAAGGUACCCCUUCGUGGCCAGCUUCUUAGAGGGACUACGGCUUUUUAGGCCAUGGAAGUUUGAGGCAAUAACAGGUCUGUGAUGCCCUUAGAUGUUCUGGGCCACAAGCACACUACAUUGAUGUAUUCAAUGAGUUUAUAGCCUUGGCCGACAGGUCCAGGUAAUCUUUGAAAUUUCAUCUUGAUGGGGAUAGAUCAUUGUAAUUGUUGGUCUUCAACGAGGAAUUCCUAGUAAGCGUAAGUCAUAGCUCGUGUUUAGCACAUCUGGAGUUCAGAUUCCGCCUUCUGUGUCCACUGUCAUCACAUCAGUCCCAUUACCUACUAGCACUAGCUCACAUGCUCAGACCCAGCCAUCUGUUCCUCCAGUUGCUCCUCCCUCUGCUACAGCCUUACCAGUUAUCAGUGUUGUAGAUCAAGUUACAUCUACCACUCCUUCAACUCCUGCUCAGGCUAUCAGUCCACCUAUCACUCCAUUUUAUGAUCCUAUGUUGGAUGAGAUGUUGAAGAGGCC